rnacentral:rRNA from 2 species
GGCCCCUUCGGGGGUACACGAGUGGCGAACGGGUGAGUAACACGUGGGUGAUCUGCCCUGCACUCUGGGAUAAGCCUGGGAAACUGGGUCUAAUACCGGAUAUGAGCUCCUGUCGCAUGGCGGGGGUUGGAAAGGUUUACUGGUGCAGGAUGGGCCCGCGGCCUAUCAGCUUGUUGGUGGGGUAAUGGCCUACCAAGGCGACGACGGGUAGCCGGCCUGAGAGGGCGACCGGCCACACUGGGACUGAGACACGGCCCAGACUCCUACGGGAGGCAGCAGUGGGGAAUAUUGCACAAUGGGCGAAAGCCUGAUGCAGCGACGCCGCGUGAGGGAUGACGGCCUUCGGGUUGUAAACCUCUUUCAGCAGGGACGAAGCGAGAGUGACGGUACCUGCAGAAGAAGCACCGGCCAACUACGUGCCAGCAGCCGCGGUAAUACGUAGGGUGCGAGCGUUGUCCGGAAUUACUGGGCGUAAAGAGCUCGUAGGCGGUUUGUCGCGUCGUCCGUGAAAACUUGGGGCUCAACCCCAAGCUUGCGGGCGAUACGGGCAGACUUGAGUACUGCAGGGGAGACUGGAAUUCCUGGUGUAGCGGUGAAAUGCGCAGAUAUCAGGAGGAACACCGGUGGCGAAGGCGGGUCUCUGGGCAGUAACUGACGCUGAGGAGCGAAAGCGUGGGUAGCGAACAGGAUUAGAUACCCUGGUAGUCCACGCCGUAAACGGUGGGCGCUAGGUGUGGGUUUCCUUCCACGG